GCGUAAUAGCUCACUGGUCGAGUCGGCCUGCGCGGAAGAUGUAACGGGGCUAAACCAUGCACCGAAGCUGCGGCAGCGACACUAUGUGUUGUUGGGUAGGGGAGCGUUCUGUAAGCCUGCGAAGGUGUGCUGUGAGGCAUGCUGGAGGUAUCAGAAGUGCGAAUGCUGACAUAAGUAACGAUAAAGCGGGUGAAAAGCCCGCUCGCCGGAAGACCAAGGGUUCCUGUCCAACGUUAAUCGGGGCAGGGUGAGUCGACCCCUAAGGCGAGGCCGAAAGGCGUAGUCGAUGGGAAACAGGUUAAUAUUCCUGUACUUGGUGUUACUGCGAAGGGGGGACGGAGAAGGCUAUGUUAGCCGGGCGACGGUUGUCCCGGUUUAAGCAUGUAGGCUGGUUAUCCAGGCAAAUCCGGAUAAUCAAGGCUGAGGUGUGAUGACGAGGCACUACGGUGCUGAAGUAACAAAUGCCCUGCUUCCAGGAAAAGCCUCUAAGCAUCAGGUAACAUCAAAUCGUACCCCAAACCGACACAGGUGGUCAGGUAGAGAAUACCAAGGCGCUUGAGAGAACUCGGGUGAAGGAACUAGGCAAAAUGGUGCCGUAACUUCGGGAGAAGGCACGCUGGUGUGUAGGUGA
rnacentral:rRNA from 1 species